rnacentral:rRNA from 1 species
UACGUAGGGUGCAAGCGUUGUCCGGAAUUAUUGGGCGUAAAGAGCUCGUAGGCGGUUUGUUGCGUCGGCUGUGAAAUCCCGAGGCUCAACCUCGGGUCUGCAGUCGAUACGAGCAAACUAGAGUGUUGCAGGGGAGACUGGAAUUCCUGGUGUAGCGGUGAAAUGCGUAGAUAUCGAGAGGAACACCUGCGGCGAAGGCGGGUUGCUGGGCCGACACUGACGCUGAUGCGCGAAAGCCAGGGGAGCGAACGGG